rnacentral:misc_RNA from 1 species
CGCGCACACACGCACAGACACGCACAGUUCUCUCGCUCUCCUGAGUCGCUCAUCCACACAUCCCCCAGCAUUCCGGUAGAGUAUCAAUCCACCGCGCAUCGCAGCGCGCACACUGCAUGUCCGCCUUGUCCACCAGCGUUGUGGCCUCGCCAGAGGCUUACACCAAGGCGCUGCUCCACUGCUACAAGUACCCGGCGCAGCCGGUCAUGGGCAUGCUCGUCGGCAAGCGGCUGAGCGACGACGCUGGCGCGGCGGCGCAGAGCAGCGGCAGUCCCAGCAGCCCACACACGAGCUGCGGCGCCGCCAGCGGCACCUCUUCGAGCACCUGCUACGUGUCCGACGCUGUACCGCUCUUCCACACGCUGCCCAUGACGGCGCCGCACCCAAUGCUGGAGGUCGCCUACGCGCAUGUGCAGUACGCCGCCAAGACGACGGGGCAGUCACUGCUCGGCGUGUACAUCGCGAACGAACGCCUCACGGACAACGGCGUGUCUCCGCUGACGAAGAAGAUGCUGGAUGCGCUGCAGGCCCGCUUGCCGACGAGCACGAGGCUACUCGUCUGGUUCGUGAGUAACGAGUGCCUCACCUCGCCCCCGACAGGACUGGCGAUCACGUCUCUGACGGCGGAUCGCUGCUCGUGCAACAAGACGAUCUCGUUGCCGUCGCAAGCCUCCGCGGAUGAGCGGAUGACGUUUGGGCGCUGGAACUCCGACACGCUUGCACCGGAGGCGACAGUGUCGGCGGAGAGCGUCAUGGAGAGCGUAUCGAACGCGCUAGACGCCUUCGCGCACUACCGCAUCGCCGACCUGGAGGAUCACCUCGAGGACCCUUCCAUCACCUACCUGGAGCAGCCCCUGAUGGCGCUCAUGACGCGCAAGUAAAAUGGAGCGCACAAGUGCCAUGGUCUGCCUUUGUUUCCCUGCACCUCUUCGUUCUCAACAACCAUUUUCGACACCGAUACAGCACAGGCGUGAGCUUCGGUGUGAGGACGAUCACGGAAACGUAGGGGUGGGAGCGGGGCGGAUGAAGCCGGCGCCGGCGCCGGCGGCUUGAUGACUAUGGGUGAUGGCAGUAAUGUAGCGCGCCGAAGGCAGUGGCUGUUCUCGGCGUAGCUGCUACGGUGCGAGUCGUGCCAGCAGCCGAAGGAGAUGCUUCGGUGGCGCAAUGCCGCUUAUGUCCUUCUCCUUCCGUGUGCUGUUCCGCGUAUCGGCGGCGCUGGACUGUGGAAAACAAAAAGGGGGGGAGGAAAAGGAGGAGGGGCGUCGCGGGUGUCCGCCUAGCCGUGAAGGCGUCGACACAACACAAGAGAAGAGGCGACUGCACAGCCUUGGGCGGGUGGCGGAGAAGCGGCGCCCCCCUCCUUCCUCCGCUGACACCCGUGGACAUAC